CAUCAGCAGCAAGUAUGACAGUUGUUUCAUCAUAAAGGUCACUUAUUUCUGCUUUAGUCCAAGAGUAUAGAAAUGCUGGGUCUGAAUGAGAGAAAAUAAUAAAAAAAGAAAACAAUCAUAUGAUAUGAAGGCAAGUGUUUCUCAUUAAAUGUUUACCCAUAAAGGAAUACUAUAGUGUCAGAUAUACAAACACGUAUUCCUGACACUACAUAUUUUAACUAUUUUGGUCCCCAGUGCCCCUUAGAUCCCAGUAAUAUGGUGAUUUUACUCACCUUGUCUCCCACGCCGUGCCGGCCUUCCGCAUUUCACCUCCAUGACUGAGAUCAUCAAUCUUGAUGAUCUCAGCAAAUCCAAUGCUUUAACAUAGGAAAUAAUGUAUCAAUGCAUGCAAAGCGUGGAGAUGCUGAAUGCCUGUGCUACACACUGUGCAGCAUUGGACAAGGCAGCACAUCUAGUGGCAGUCUCAGUGACUGCCCCAGGAGGUGUUACUAGGCAGCAAUGUAAACACUCUCAUUUCUGUCAGUGCUGUAUUUAGUGCAAGGCUGACAAGGCAUUUGCCUUGGGCGGCACUUUCAGGGUGGCAGCAAAAAAUGCAGACCCAAAAGCCACAGCAGAUACCUUGUCUGCCUCUUGUCCUGGGGGCCCAAGAAGUGGUCGGCUGGCCACUUUGAGCCCCCCCCCCCGAUCUGAUUAGUUUGUAGGCGGGCGGCGAGGGAGCCCUUUCCCCUGAGCUCUUCCUGCUCUGCUCAGUGAAUGUGAGUCUGUCACUGAGAGUGUAUAUGUGUCUGUCACUGAGUGCGUCUGUCACUGAGUGCGUCUGUCGCUGAGUGCGUCUGUCGCUGAGUGCGUCUGUCGCUGAGUGCGUCUGUCGCUGAGUGCGUCUGUCGCUGAGUGCGUCUGUCGCUGAGUGCGUCUGUCGCUGAGUGUGUCUGUCGCUGAGUGCGUCUGUCGCUGAGUGCAUCUGUCGCUGAGUGCAUCUGUAUGUCUGUCUGCCAGUGAAUGUGUAGGUCUGUCAGCAUAGCCAAUCCUGGGCGGGUGCAUGGGGUGCACAGCGCCCAGGCGCUAUGUGAGAAGAGGCGCAUUGUGGCAUUUGGCCCCGCCCAUCUUGUUAAGACUCACUCUGCCUCCUGUCUGAAAGCCCUUUUGGGCUACUGGAAGACUGGUUGGCUGGGCUGGAUGGUGAGCACACACGGGGGAAGGGCUGCAUAAGGGAACAGGAGGGGAGGGGGGUUCAGGAGGGGAAGAGGGGUUAAAGAGGGCACAAAAGGGGUAGGGGCUAAAGAUGGCACAGUAAGGGCACAGGAGGGGAGGGAGGCGAAAGACUGCACAGGAGGGGAAAAGAGGACACAGAAGGUAGGAGGCUAAAGAAUGUACUGGAGAGAAGAAGGGCUACAUAAGAGCACAGGAGGGGAUAGGGGCUAAAGAGGGCACAGAAGGGGAGGGGGAUAAAAAAGAUACAAGAGGGGGUUUCAUAAGUGGAGAGGAGGAUAGAGGGGCAGGGCUAAAGAGACACAAAGAUGCUGGGGGAAAAAGGCACACAGAUGGGGCUGAGAUGGCACAAAGAGACAAACAGAAGGGCUGGUGGGACAAGGAGAAACAUAGAAGCACUUUGGGGCAAAGAGACACAGAGGGGCUGGGGAAGGGGAAAAAGACACACAAAGGAGUUAUGGGAGAAACAGAUGCACAAAUUUGCUGGGGGAGAAAGACGCACAAAGGGGCUGCGGUAGACAAAGAGGCACGCAGAAGGGCUGUGGGGAUGCACAGGCACAGAAGGGCUGGGGAGAGG